UGGCUAACUCCUACGGGAGGCAGCAGUGGGGAAUUUUGGACAAUGGGGGCAACCCUGAUCCAGCAAUGCCGCGUGAGUGAAGAAGGCCUUCGGGUUGUAAAGCUCUUUUGUCAGGGAAGAAAAGGUCGCAGCUAAUAUCUGUGGCUCAUGACGGUACCUGAAGAAUAAGCACCGGCUAACUACGUGCCAGCAGCCGCGGUAAUACGUAGGGUGCAAGCGUUAAUCGGAAUUACUGGGCGUAAAGCGUGCGCAGGCGGUUUUGUAAGUCUGUUGUGGAAUCCCCGGGCUCAACCUGGGAAUGGCAAUGGAGACUGCAAGGCUAGAGUUUGGCAGAGGGGGGUAGAAUUCCACGUGUAGCAGUGAAAUGCGUAGAUAUGUGGAGGAACACCGAUGGCGAAGGCAGCCCCCUGGGUCAAAACUGACGCUCAUGCACGAAAGCGUGGGGAGCAAACAGGAUUAGAUACCCGGGUAGUCCAGCUGG
rnacentral:rRNA from 1 species